UUGAUGCAGAUGAAUUUCAGGAAGAACUGGGAGAGUAGAAACAAAAUUGUCAGCACUUCUCCAUGGAAACCCCAUGGAGGUUUCAGGGCUGAGGACAGCGCUGGGGAAGUCCUGGGGCCCCCAGAAGCCAGAGGUGGGGUAACAAGAGGAUGGGUGGAUGACUUACGCAGGGAGCAGCCCUCUGAAACCGCCGGAAUCGAGGCCUCCUUUGCACCUUGAUUCCACCCAGAGUCUGCGCCUACGCUUUGGGCAGGGGAGGCAGAACCCACGUUGGUCUAAGAGCAGGGAGAAGUGGGCAUGAUCCUACCAUGCUGCAGGGCCUCGGGAUGGGGAUGGGAUUUGCUGCUCUUUGUGCCCAAUUAAUGAGCGAGACGAACAAGCACACUGAGUAGCUUCCUGCCAGCCGUCCCCUUUGGCAGCAAACUCAUCCCCACCUCUGGGCCUUGGCUCGAGUUGUUAGCCAACUCAACCUUGAAGCCGUCCCUUCCUAUCAGCCCAUGCAAAUUCUGCCAUCAGCCAAGGACCGCCUCUUCCUCUUCCGGGAAGCUGACUUCAAGCCAUGCCCUUCCCUUUUGCAAGCUCCCGUGGCUCGCGACCCGCAGCCCACCCCUGCACCAGUGGACACUGCGGGAUGGCCUGGCCUCGGCUCUGCAUUUUCACUUCUCUUAGCUCUCAUCUCCUCCACCACAGAGACAGCUCUGUCUGAGUAUCUUUCUGAUACUGUUCUUUAUCCCCCAGGACUGGCCCAGCCCAGGGCGGUGCGUACAGCAGACACUUAAUGUAACACAGUAGCAGCUUUUAAUUUCUCAGGCCAAUGAGAUACAGACAGUCACUGGAAGAACUUAUUAGUUUGAAUUACAAACAACAGAAGUAGAAAACUCCACAAGGAAAAAUCUCAGCUGGUGAAGAAGCUCAGGAGCUCACAGAAGGUGAGCACUUGGGGGUAAGUGGGCUGGGCACCUCAGGAGUUUUGUGAUGUCCAAAAGGAGAUGUGGGUGACGUAGGGUUUAAAACCCGCACCUGUAGGACCAGUCAAAUGGAGACAGAGUUGGCUUCCCAGAGCUACCGCAAGGGCACGAGGUAGGAGGACCAAGCUACCAGUUACUGAAUGGGCACUGAGCAGCUAUAAUGUGUGCACUAAGCUUGUCCUGUCUUAAUCCCAAAACAGUGUGAUGAAGUAAUCAAACCAUCGCCAUCGGCUAAGGAAACCGAGGGGUGCAGAGCUGAUGUCGCUUGGCCCGCAAGCCACGGAGAGUGGGAGCAAGAGGAGGUUUGGUCAGGCUGCCUCUGCCCCUGUCUUUCUCGGCCCACAGGCUCCAAGCAGGCAGGACCAGACCGCAGCUUCCAGGUGCUGGGAUCCGGGGACCACACCUUCACCUGCUGCUCUCUUGAAGGAAAAACAAAUAUCUGCCUCUGGCAGGUAAAAAAAAAAUAAAAGGAGUGCGUCUCA
rnacentral:lncRNA from 1 species